rnacentral:lncRNA from 1 species
ACCAAUGUGCAUCUCCAAUACCCUCCCCCUCCCUUUUAAAUUCAACUUUAUGUUUAUGGGUGCUUUGCCUGCAUAUGUCUGUGUACUGUAUAUACACCUGGUGCACAAGGAGGCCAGAGGAGGGCAGCUCCUGGAGCUGGAGUUACAGAUGGUUGUGAGCUACCACAAUGGGUGCUGGGGUCAAACCUAAAUCCUCUAGAAGAGCGACAGCAAUUGCUCUUAAGCCCUGGGCCCUCUCUCUACCCGCAGCCAGGGGUAGGUACACAUCUAUAAUUCUAAUACUUGGGUCCCCGAGGAGGAAGUUCACAAGUUUAAGGCUAUCCUGGGCGCUACACAGUUGGUCUCAACAAAACAAAUUAAAAGAAAUAUUUUCAGGGGGCUGGGGAUUUAGCUCAGUGGUAGAGCGCUUACCUAGGAAGUGCAAGGCCCUGGGUUCGGUCCCCAGCUCCGAAAAAAAAAAAAAAA